rnacentral:rRNA from 1 species
UUUGGUUAAGUUAGAAAGGGCGCACGGUGGAUGCCUUGACACUAGGAGUCGAUGAAGGACGGGACUAACGCCGAUAUGCUUCGGGGAGCUGUAAGUAAGCUUUGAUCCGAAGAUUUCCGAAUGGGGAAACCCACCAUACGUAAUGGUAUGGUAUCCUUAUCUGAAUACAUAGGGUAAGGAAGACAGACCCAGGGAACUGAAACAUCUAAGUACCUGGAGGAAGAGAAAGCAAAUGCGAUUUCCUGAGUAGCGGCGAGCGAAACGGAACAUAGCCCAAACCAAGAGGCUUGCCUCUUGGGGUUGUAGGACAUUCUAUACGGAGUUACAAAGGAACGAGGUAGACGAAGCGACCUGGAAAGGUCCGUCGUAGAGGGUAACAACCCCGUAGUCGAAACUUCGUUCUCUCUUGAAUGUAUCCUGAGUACGGCGGAACACGUGAAAUUCCGUCGGAAUCUGGGAGGACCAUCUCCCAAGGCUAAAUACUCCCUAGUGAUCGAUAGUGAACCAGUACCGUGAGGGAAAGGUGAAAAGCACCCCGGAAGGGGAGUGAAAGAGAUCCUGAAACCGUGUGCCUACAAAUAGUCAGAGCCCGUUAACGGGUGAUGGCGUGCCUUUUGUAGAAUGAACCGGCGAGUUACGAUCCCGUGCGAGGUUAAGCUGAAGAGGCGGAGCCGCAGCGAAAGCGAGUCUGAAUAGGGCGUUUAGUACGUGGUCGUAGACCCGAAACCAGGUGAUCUACCCAUGUCCAGGGUGAAGUUCAGGUAACACUGAAUGGAGGCCCGAACCCACGCACGUUGAAAAGUGCGGGGAUGAGGUGUGGGUAGCGGAGAAAUUCCAAUCGAACCUGGAGAUAGCUGGUUCUCCCCGAAAUAGCUUUAGGGCUAGCCUUAAGUGUAAGAGUCUUGGAGGUAGAGCACUGAUUGGACUAGGGGUCCUCAUCGGAUUACCGAAUUCAGUCAAACUCCGAAUGCCAAUGACUUAUCCUUAGGAGUCAGACUGCGAGUGAUAAGAUCCGUAGUCAAAAGGGAAACAGCCCAGACCGCCAGCUAAGGUCCCAAAGUGUGUAUUAAGUGGAAAAGGAUGUGGAGUUGCUUAGACAACUAGGAUGUUGGCUUAGAAGCAGCCACCAUUUAAAGAGUGCGUAAUAGCUCACUAGUCGAGUGACUCUGCGCCGAAAAUGUACCGGGGCUAAAUACACCACCGAAGCUGCGGAUUGAUACCAAUGGUAUCAGUGGUAGGGGAGCGUUCUAAGGACAGUGAAGUCAGACCGUAAGGACUGGUGGAGUGCUUAGAAGUGAGAAUGCCGGUAUGAGUAGCGAAAGACGGGUGAGAAUCCCGUCCACCGAAUGCCUAAGGUUUCCUGAGGAAGGCUCGUCCGCUCAGGGUUAGUCAGGACCUAAGCCGAGGCCGACAGGCGUAGGCGAUGGACAACAGGUUGAUAUUCCUGUACCACCUCUUUAUCGUUUGAGCAAUGGAGGGACGCAGAAGGAUAGAAGAAGCGUGCGAUUGGUUGUGCACGUCCAAGCAGUUAGGCUGAUAAGUAGGCAAAUCCGCUUAUCGCGUAUGCUGAGCUGUGAUGGGGAAGCUCCUUAUGGAGCGAAGUCUUUGAUUCCCCGCUGCCAAGAAAAGCUUCUAGCGAGAUAAAAGGUGCCUGUACCGCAAACCGACACAGGUAGGCGAGGAGAGAAUCCUAAGGUGUGCGAGAGAACUCUGGUUAAGGAACUCGGCAAAAUGACCCCGUAACUUCGGGAGAAGGGGUGCUUUCUUAACGGAAAGCCGCAGUGAAUAGGCCCAAGCGACUGUUUAGCAAAAACACAGCUCUCUGCGAAGCCGUAAGGCGAAGUAUAGGGGGUGACACCUGCCCGGUGCUGGAAGGUUAAGGAGAGGGGUUAGCGUAAGCGAAGCUCUGAACUGAAGCCCCAGUAAACGGCGGCCGUAACUAUAACGGUCCUAAGGUAGCGAAAUUCCUUGUCGGGUAAGUUCCGACCCGCACGAAAGGUGUAACGAUUUGGGCACUGUCUCAACCAGAGACUCGGUGAAAUUAUAGUACCUGUGAAGAUGCAGGUUACCCGCGACAGGACGGAAAGACCCCGUGGAGCUUUACUGUAGCCUGAUAUUGAAUUUUGGUACAGUUUGUACAGGAUAGGCGGGAGCCAUUGAAACCGGAGCGCUAGCUUCGG